CAAAAGCCACAGAAAAUCUGCAAAAACUUUAAGAAGAAAUGGUUAUUUCAGGUUUUAUACAUCAUUCAGGUAUCCAUUUGAUUAAACCAUCCUUUUCCACUGCUGCGUACCCAUGCCAAAACACUCUGUGACCAGCCUGAUUCCCACGCUAUUGCUCCCGGUUCCUUAACCUGAACCAAAGGAUAAUUUUUGUCACCUGGGUUGGCAUAAAGUGUUUCCACAGGGCGGGUGUGGACUCGUCACCUCUAACAAAAUGAUUUAAUGAAUAAAGGGUGUGGGACAAUAAAGUCUGUUGCCGGUCUAUGGGUAUUGUCCCCUUAUGACCUUCCCCCUCCCCAGGCUGUUGGAGUUUGGCUUUUAGGGUGCAAUGCGCACGUUCCACUAUUGCUUGCCCUUGACUGUUGUAAGGAAGGCCGUGUACUAACUUGAUGUGUCAUAAUGCACACCAUUCUUUGGUACGUCUAGCGAUGAAACAAGGGCCAUUAUCUGUUUCGAUCUCUUGUGGCUUCCCUAAUAAGGUGAUGACGCCCUCCCAAUGAACAAUAAUGUGUCUGGCUGUUUGUUUGCGAGCCAUCGUGGCUAAUAGUGUAGAGCUAAAGGUGUCGAUGGUUACUAUGAGGUAUUUAUUUGGUUUUAACAAUUCUCAUGCU